GCCACCUUAGCUCAGUUGGCAGAGCGGUUCAUUCGUAAUGAACAGGUCGCCGGUUCGACUCCGGCAGGUGGCUCCA
rnacentral:tRNA from 1 species